ACAGUACUUCGUAUCUCCACUAAAUCGUAUCUUUUCUUUUCUUUAUUUCUUAUGUUUUAUCUAUAUAAGAAUUAUCUCAUUCAUUGUUCCGACUCGAAAAAAACACUCGUAAUUAUAAUUAAAGUUAUGCUCAGGCACGCGAGGCAGAGGCAGUAGAUUCUCGUAUCGAAUUAUCGAUCACAAUUUACGGCUAUAUGCCUUUUAAUUGUGAUUGACUUAGUUUUGAUUUAUUGUUCACUAAUGUAUCUUAUCACCGGUUAUCGUUUCUAGCACUCGCACAAACACGUAAUCUGCAUUACAAAGGAUUAACACAACUGUGAUUACGUCUCGCGAUAGGAAUGCGUAUCUGUUUUUUUUUUUUCAAAUUACAUUCUAAUAAACAUUUUUUCAAGAGACAACACGAUCGAUACCUUUGGGCUUUCGUGGCGGCACCUUCAUGAACUCAGCGCAUGAAAUUCUCUUGGUUAGAAUUUUCGAUGACAUUGUUGCAACUCGCCAAUAAAAAUGACAGAGCUGCCUCGUGAAUUCCACCUCCACCAUCGAGUUCCACCUUGUGCCGAUCAGCAACAUACGCAAUGUUACCAGCCGCCAGCUACAUAGGUGCACCCUGGAUGCAUUCUAAUAACAUUCACCAUGGGAUAUCUAAUAAGCUCAAUUGUCAUCCAAUACAAUUAUUGGGGUGAAGUGGCUACUGUGCAGCAUGAGAGAAUUCUUUCGUCACUGCUGAUAAGAGAUAAGCUCACGGAUGGAUCAUUCCACCAUUGGACUUCUCCACGGCCAAAGAUAAUAAAUAUUAAAUUGUCAAUAAAGUAGAUGGCAGCUGUCAAGUAGAAAACGAUGUGCCACUGACUGACGUUGUUCUGAAAAGGGAGGUCAAAGGGCUUACCUCAUCUGUGAUGAUCACACCUGCGAUGAGAGGAGAAACAAUGGCGACCACGGCAGCCGCACAGUUCGUUAUGGCCAUCAUACUGCCGGCAUUAUUUGGACUCAAGUCGAUAUGAUUGAUCUGAA